rnacentral:rRNA from 1 species
UACGUAGGUGGCAAGCGUUAUCCGGAUUUAUUGGGUUUAAAGGGUGCGCAGGCGGGAGAUUAAGUCGGCGGUGAAAUUUUGCAGCUCAACUGUAAAAGUGCCUUCGAAACUGGUUUCCUUGAGUGUAGAUGAAGUAGGCGGAAUUUGUGGUGUAGCGGUGAAAUGCAUAGAUAUCACGAGGAACUCCGAUUGCGCAGGCAGCUUACUAAACUACUACUGACGCUCAGGCACGAAGGCGUGGGGAUCAAACAGGAUUAGAUACCCGCGUAGU